rnacentral:tRNA from 1 species
GGAGUAGCUCAAGUGGUAGAGUGCAUGUUUAGCAUGCAUGAGUUCCUGGGUUCAAUCCCCAGUAGCUCCA